AUUGAACGCUGGCGGCAGGCCUAACACAUGCAAGUCGAGCGGUAACAGAAAGUAGCUUGCUAUAACUGUCAGCUAAGUGGCGCACGGGUGAGUAAUAUAUAGUUAACCUGCCCUCGAGAAAGGAAUAACAGUUGGAAACGACUGCUAAUGCCCUAUAUGCCUUUAUGACAUAAGUCAGCAAGGGAAAUGCUUUUGUGCUCGAGGAUGGGACUGUAUGGUAUCAGAUAGUUGGUGGGGUAAUGGCCUACCAAGUCAAUGACGCCUAACUGGUUUGAGAGGAUGAUCAGUCACACUGGAACUGAGACACGGUCCAG
rnacentral:rRNA from 1 species